UGCACGAUGGCGGAGGGGCGGACGCCGCACGCAGCGCCGGCACAGAGAGCUCUGGCGGCGUCGGCUCGGCGUCGGCUCGGUGUCGCAGCCCCACGGAGGCCCCGCUGGCGCAGCCCCACAGCGACCCUCAGCCCUAUGGUGACCUUCAGCCCCACAGCGACCUUCAGCCCCACAGCAACUCUCAGCCCCACAUCAGCUCUCAGCCCCACAACGACCUUCAGCCCCACAGCGACCCUCAGCCCCCACUCGCGGAGCCCCACAGCGACAGCGAUGGGGGCACAGAGGUGGAACGGGCAGCCAAUGCACAGCCCGUGUGUAGGGCAGAGCCCCCCUGUGGGGCAGAGCCCAUCUGUGGGGUCGGCAGUGUGGGGCUGCCCCACAUCCCGAGCGCCAUGGGGCCGCAGAUGGCAGCGGAGCUCAGCGCCGUGCUGGGGGGGGACGCUGAGCUGCUGCAGGUAAUGCUGGAAUGGCCCUGCGACCCACACCAAAGCCACCCCAAUCCACCCCAAAUCGCCCCAACCCACCCCAAUUCCCUCCGAUUCACCUCAAAUUGCCCCAGUCCAACUCAAUCCACCCCCAAAUCCACCCCAAUUCACCCCAAAUCGCCCCAAUCCACCCCAAUUCACCCCAAAUCCCCUCAGUUCACCCAAAUCGCCCCAACCCACCCCAGUUCCCUCCGAUUCACACCAAAUUGCCCCAAUUCAACUCAAUCCACCCCAAAUCCACCCCAAUUCCCUCCAAUCCACCCCAAAUCGCCCCAAUCCACCUCAGUUCACCCUAAAUUC
rnacentral:lncRNA from 1 species